UAUGUGUACCAAAUAUGUAAUUACGGGGACCGAAACGACGAAUUUGGACAAAGGGCUUUGAGCUAAAACCCUAAACCCAAUCAACACUGUAUCCACCAUAGCUCCGAGAUCUUCACCCAAAACUCUCCCUACAAUGGCUUCAAGGUGUAGCAGAAUUAUCAAUAAGGGUUCCAUUUCGUCUAUCAGAUCCGCUAUUAAGCUCAAUUCCCAAUCAGCUUCUUCUACAACGUCGUUUUCCAGUUUCUCUGCUUCAACCAGAUCUGCUUCGUCUCCUCUCCGCCGGUUAUCCUUUUCAAGAAUUCCGUCGGAGCUGGGAGGAGUGCAGUCAAUGUUGCCACUACACAAUGCAGUUGCUACGGCGAGGAUGACGUCAUGCCUGAGCUCAACAUCGAGGAGUUGCAGAGCUCUUUCACAGGGUACACUCUGCUGCACCUCUCCAGACCUCUAGCAUGUUCAUUUAUUACUACCACAAAAUAAAAAAGAAGCACAUGAGUUUCCAAAAGCAUGAAAGAAAUAUACUGGGAUUUGACAGGCCUUCGUAUUUUGCUUAAAUGAUACUGAAGGAACGUGAAAUUUUUUGCUCAUCAAGAGGAGGUUGUAUCUGCUUGAAUUUAGCUACAAGAUAUUUUGCCUUGGCUUUAAACCAUGUUUUCAGACAUAUCAUCUGCUUAUUGUAGAGAAACAGAUGCAUCAGAGAUGAACCUACCCUUUUCUUUUUCAAAUACUUGAAUGCAAAAUUGUCUUGUAUGUAACACUUAGUUUUUUUCCCCCCUUUUAGUGGCAAUUGUAUCUACAACAAAAUGUAUUUGAUUGAUUUAAGGAAUCUAAUCUAACCUAGUUUUGAUCUUUGAA